UGAGGAAUAUUGGUCAAUGGACGAGAGUCUGAACCAGCCAAGUAGCGUGAAGGAUGACUGCCCUAUGGGUUGUAAACUUCUUUUAUAAGGGAAUAAAGUCACCCACGUGUGGGUGUUUGUAUGUACCUUAUGAAUAAGCAUCGGCUAACUCCGUGCCAGCAGCCGCGGUAAUACGGAGGAUGCGAGCGUUAUCCGGAUUUAUUGGGUUUAAAGGGAGCGUAGACGGGCCGUUAAGUCAGCUGUGAAAGUUUGAGGCUCAACCUUAAAAUUGCAGUUGAUACUGGCGUCCUUGAGUACGGUUGAGGCAGGCGGAAUUCGUGGUGUAGCGGUGAAAUGCUUAGAUAUCACGAAGAACCCCGAUUGCGAAGGCAGCCUGCUAAACCGCCACUGACGUUGAGGCUCGAAAGUGUGGGUAUCAAACAGGAUUAGAUACCCUGGUAGUCCACACGGUAAACGAUGGAUACUCGCUGUUGGCGAUAGACUGUCAGCGGCUUAGCGAAAGCGUUAAGUAUCCCACCUGGGGAGUACGCCGGCAACGGUGAAACUCAAAGGAAUUGACGGGGGCCCGCACAAGCGGAGGAACAUGUGGUUUAAUUCGAUGAUACGCGAGGAACCUUACCCGGGCUUGAAUUGCAGACGAAUUGCUUGGAAACAGGCAAGCCGCAAGGCGUCUGUGAAGGUGCUGCAUGGUUGUCGUCAGCUCGUGCCGUGAGGUGUCGGCUUAAGUGCCAUAACGAGCGCAACCCUCGUGUCCAGUUACUAGCAGGUUAUGCUGAGGACUCUGGACAGACUGCCAUCGUAAGAUGUGAGGAAGGUGGGGAUGACGUCAAAUCAGCACGGCCCUUACGUCCGGGGCUACACACGUGUUACAAUGGGGGGUACAGCAGGCAGCUACCGGGCGACCGGAUGCCAAUCCCGAAAGCCUCUCUCAGUUCGGACUGGAGUCUGCAACCCGACUCCAUGAAGCUGGAUUCGCUAGUAAUCGCGCAUCAGCCACGGCGCGGUGAAUACGUUCCC
rnacentral:rRNA from 1 species